CAGAUAUAGUCUAUCGGUAGGACGCUAGCUUCCCAAGCUGGAGAGGCGGGUUCGAUUCCCGUUAUCUG
rnacentral:tRNA from 1 species